rnacentral:rRNA from 1 species
AUUGAACGCUGGCGGCAGGCCUAACACAUGCAAGUCGAACGGUAACAGGAAGAAGCUUGCUUCUUUGCUGACGAGUGGCGGACGGGUGAGUAAUGUCUGGGAAACUGCCUGAUGGAGGGGGAUAACUACUGGAAACGGUAGCUAAUACCGCAUAACGUCGCAAGACCAAAAAGGGGGACCUUCGGGCCUCUUGCCAUCGGAUGUGCCCAGAUGGGAUUAGCUAGUAGGUGGGGUAACGGCUCACCUAGGCGACGAUCCCUAGCUGGUCUGAGAGGAUGACCAGCCACACUGGAACUGAGACACGGUCCAGACUCCUACGGGAGGCAGCAGUGGGGAAUAUUACACAAUGGGCGCAAGCCUGAUGCAGCCAUGCCGCGUGUAUGAAGAAGGCCUUCGGGUUGUAAAGUACUUUCAGCGGGGAGGAAGGGAGUAAAGUUAAUACCUUUGCUCAUUGACGUUACCCGCAGAAGAAGCACCGGCUAACUCCGUG